GAUCAUGGCUCAGGAUGAACGCUGGCGGCGUGCCUAACACAUGCAAGUCGAACGGAGCUGCUUUGAUGAAGUUUUCGGAUGGAUUUAAAACAGCUUAGUGGCGGACGGGUGAGUAACGCGUGGGUAACCUGCCUCACACUGGGGGAUAACAGUUAGAAAUAGCUGCUAAUACCGCAUAAGCGCACAGUUCCGCAUGGAACGGUGUGAAAAACUCCGGUGGUGUGAGAUGGACCCGCGU
rnacentral:rRNA from 1 species